rnacentral:lncRNA from 1 species
ACAGGCAUAGAAGCAACUAAAAAACAAAUAUGUGUUUGAGCCCCAGAGAGAUUAUGUGGCUUCAUAAAGAUAGUAUGGCUGGUAAGUGGAGAUGAUUCUAUUUUAACUCAGUUAAAUAUGGUUCCAAAGCUUAUCUUUUUUCCACCACAUUAUAUUGUCUCUCAUAAUGUCAUGCACCCUGGGGAGUAGCCUUUUAGGAUCCUUAUUACUUACUAUGGAUAGGCGCAAGGGCCCAAGAAAUUCAGCUGGUCUUAAUUUAGAUAAAGGCAUUCAAUGUUAAUGGCACAAAUGGACAAUGGCUUAUUUAAAGUAUACACUUUUAAAUUUCUUUUGGGGGGAUAUUUCUGCUUCAAUAUCGUGACAUGUCUGUACAUGACAUGAGGAGUUAGAUUAAUGAUUUAUAAAAUCUAGUAAAAAAAAACUCUGAAAGAGGAUAUAUAUUAUAUGUACCAUUUAUAUAAAGCUCAAAAACAGGUCAAACCAAUUAAAACUGUUAGAAAUCAGGAUGGUGACUACCUCUGGGGAGAAUACUGACCACAAACUGGAACUAGGGGAUGUCUGGGAUUGGGAUAUUCUUGCUCUGGAUGCCAGUUUUUACCGGCAUGUUGAGUAACUUGUGAUUUGAAUACUUUCUUUUGUGUAUUUCAUACUUCAAUAACACCCUCCACAAUUGAAGACAACAUUUUUUCUUUAUAAUGAUUGAAAUUGGAUGCCUUGGUUGAUUUCCAUAUAUUUUGGCCUUGGGCAAAAUUAUUUUUUACACAAAGCUUAUAGCAAGGGAAUGUAUGUCUGCCUUUGUUCCCAUGAGUGAGCGUAUGUACACUUUCUUUUUUUGAAAUGUUUUAAAAUUUAAUGUUUAUUUUUGAGGGAGAGAGUGAGCAUGAGGGGGGCAGGGGCAGAGAGAGGAGACACAGAAUCCAGAGCAGGAUCCAGGCUCUGAGCUGUCAGCACAGAGCCCAACGUGGGGCUCAAACUCACACACUGUGAGAUCGUGAUCUAAACCAAAGUUGCACACUCAACUGACUGAGCCACCCAGACACCCCCUUAUUUAUGUAUUUGUUUGUUUGUUUGUUUGUUUGUUUAUUCAUUCUGAGAGAGAGAGAAAGUGCAAGUCGGGGAGGGGCAGAGAGAGGACAAGAGAGAACAUCCCAAGCAGAUUCCACACUGGCAGCGCAGAGCCCAUGGGGCUGGAACUCACAAACCACAAGAUCAUGACCUGAGCUGAAUCUGAUGCUUAACCCACUGAGUGCCCCUGUGUGUACAUUUUCUUAAGCACACUCAUAUCCAGGAAAUGGAGAAAUACCUGUAUCCUUUCUUACUUUCUUCUCUCAAAUUUUUGGAAACAGAAUGCCAGUCAAAUGUGAAUUUUAUACAAGUGGAGAUUAGUAAUGGAGCUUUCUUGGUUGGUGAUCCCUUGUUGGCAGCAAUCUCCUGUGCAAAUGGCAGUGGCAGGCACCCUCCCCUCUCAGGAACCAGCUUCUCCAGCCAAGAUACUAAGUCCACUCUUACCAUGUGUCUUGCCCCAACCCUCCUCAACUCUUCUCAUUGUCAGGCUCCACGAAAGAGCCAAGGGGUUGUUUGAAGAGGAUGUAUGCAUCCCACAGACACCUGAAAGGCUGAUUCUGAGGGCCCUUGGACUGAUUUACCCUGUUCACCAGUGCCUCAAAUGUCGUUCCUGCCUUGGAAUAUAUUCCUGUCUUCAUGACCCAACCUUUUUUUAUCAACAAGAUAACUACAAAUAAGGUAGAUUGUUGAAAUGCUGCAUGGCAUAGCCUCUGCCAAAAUGAAGCGUUUAUUUUUAGAACUUUAUCUUAAGAAAAUCAUCAGACAAAAGAUGUAUAUUUGCAAAGAUGUAUAUUUCCUAAAGUGUAGUUGGAGAACUGUCAGCAUCAAUAUCACUUGUAACACUUGAUAAAAUGCAUAUUCCUGGGUCUUAUGCCUUUCUUCUUGAUGCAGAAUCUCUAGAUGUGGGGACCAGCCAUUCAAAUAUUUAAAAUACCCCAGACGAUUCUUAGUCACAUUAAAGUUUUAUAUUCAGGGUCAUGUUUCAGUAUAAUUUCAAAGAGGAACAAAAGGAAGGGAUCUGAUAACAUUUUUGUUUCUAAAUAUGUGUGUAGGUGGUGCCAGAAAAUAAAGAGUGCUUGUCUCUGGAUGAUAUCCUUAUUUUUCAUUGCUUUCUUCUAUAUUUUCUGAUUUCUUUUUGCAUUGAACAUAUAUCACCUUUUUAUUCUAAUAACUCAGUAAAAACUUUUUUUAAAGAAGGUAUUUGAUAUUCUAUUUCCUGGACAGGUACUCCAGUUGUAUUAUCCCAGUGAAAUUUGUGGCUGGUUAAUUCAGAAGAUAACACUGACUACCUGAUCCUCUUAAGAUGUGAAAUAUCUUGAAGACAUCCCUCUGUUGGUCCAUAGAUCACUCAAUAUUGCCCCUGGAGUAGAACCUUCUGAACACAGUGGUAGCUUUAUGGCUUAUGUUUUAUAUCACAGGGACUUUUACUCAUUAGAACUGGUGCUUCUUUUAGGGGAUAAGAAUGGCGAGGAAGGCUGAGAAAUGCAUUCUCUGAUUUUGGGAAGUGAAUCUGGUACUUGAAGAAAGACUAUCUGACUCUUGUAUGUAGGAGAUUUGCAGCAACAGAAAGAGUACUGAAGUAAGAGAGAGGUCAUCAAUUGCAGUUACAUCUUGCUUUUUAUGCUCUCUCUCAGCCUCUUACUCCUAAAAGUGUUCUUUUCAUCUCCUCCUCCUCCUCUUCCUUCUUAUCACUCCUCGUCUCGUCGUCCUCCUCCUCCUCCUCCUCCUCCUCCUCCUUCUUCUUCUUCUUCUUCUUCUUCUUCUUCUUCUUCUUCUUCUUCUUCUUUUUCUUCAGUUUGUUCUUAUAAUGAAAGAGAGGCAAAAAUGAGAUCCACUGAAAGUCUAGUAUUUUGCCUCUCAGACCACAGUCUUGAGAGUGCAUUUUUCUUAAUCCAAUUCUGUUUCAAAUGUUGUCAGGAUGUACCAUAAUUGGUUGUGUUAAAUGACACUGGAACCACAUUGCUACUCACUCUGGAAGUGAUAUGAGCUCAGCAUGCUGCUGAUCAAAUGCACUUCUGCAUUAAAACUAUUAUAAGCAGAAUGCCUCGAUGGGAUUCUUUCCUCCUAAUAGUUUUCCAGGGUUUAUGCUGAAAGGGUUCUGUCAAUCAAGUUGAAAAUCAACUUAGCACCCUGACUUGGAUUAAUGAAAUGUAGCAGCCACGAUCUCAGCAGAGAGGCCACUGUUCUUUGGUUCCAGCAUUAUCCAGCCACACUAAAAUGCCUCAUUAUAACUGAUACUCACUGAUAAUACACUUUUUUUAAACGCAGAGAAUAUCUCCAAAGAGACUUCAUUGCCUUACAUACAACCUGCUAGAAGAGAGACCCGUGUCAAAGACAGAGAGCUGAGAGGAAGUAGGACAUGCCAAAUGUGCUUUCACAAGUACCCUGGAGGCAGACUUGGUGCAGACUCUGACUUUCUUGGGUGGCUUGGAGUCAGGAUAAUGCACUAAGAAUCGAUACAGAAAUAGAGAUAUGGCCCAGAAUAGAUUGUUGUGAAAAGGGUUCUGAUAGCAUUGCCACCAAUAAUGGGAAUAUGAGAAUUCCAAAUGAAAAAAUUAUUUUCCUAAGGAAAACAAGAUGUCACAAUGCAGAAAGGCUAUGACAACUGAUAUGCCAGUUGACCAGGUGAAAGAGAAAAAAGCUUCUUGAAUCACUGAGGCACUGCCUGGCUGUGUAGUCCCCAUAUCACCGAGUCUCAGUUCUUCUAUAACUAAGACUUAUGAUUCCAGUUCUCCUCAAACAGAAAUAUUAUUCUUCUGGUUUCCUGGACAGAGGCACCCACACUAAAAUAAUCCAUGUUAAAAGAAAAUUACAAGGUCAAAGUACUGGUGAAAACCUUGAUAGAUUUCAUGCUAAUUCUACUUUCCAGAAAGUUUCUGCCAGCUGCCCCUGAAGAGAAAGAUGGAAUAAACCAGCAAAGCCUGGGGUGAGGUGCAAGUAUUUCCAGCAUGGAAUUCCCAGCAUGGUAGAAUACCAUGAAGGUGUACAACAAAGUAAGAAACUGAGGAAGGAACAGUAUUAAUUAUACUUCAAUAUUGUUUAUUUGAGGGUCUCUCUUCAGAGGCAACUGGGGUGAUUUCACAGGAAGGGAGAAGAAAACAGUUUUUCAUGGGUGGUAGAGCUAUUGUUAGUAAAGUUUUAAUGAGGCACUCUGGGCAUGGUCUUCUUAGCACAACCAAAAUGGCCCUGGAGGCUGUGGGGUCACAUGACAUUAAUAUGGGGGGAAUACUUGACUUCAUUCUGUUUGCCUCACAUUCCUUUCCAAACAUUAAUUGCCUGAGUUUCUCUGUUCAAGUGAAAAGAAUAAGCAUACGCAAAUUUUUCACUUGAUUGUUGUAUUACAUUUGUCUAUAUUUCUUCUAGAUGCAUUUGUGUUCAGGUUAUGUAUUCCAGCACAUGUCCCCUCAGGUAUAGGUGAGGAACAGAGCCUCUUACAUUCUCAGUAGGCCGAAUUAUGGUGUAUAUUGAGGACAUGUGCUGCGCCUUGUACUAAGCUCUUUAAAAUUUUUUUUUAUAUUUUCAUUUUAUUUUUGAGAGAGAGAGACAGAGUGUGAGUGGGGGAGGAACAUAGAGAGAGGGAGACACGGAUCUGAAGCAGGCUCCAGGCUGAGCUGUCGCCCAGAGCCUGAUGUGGGACUUGAACUCAUGGACCAGAUCACGAGAUCAUCACCUGAGCUGAAGUCAGACGCUUAACUGGCAGAGCCACCCAGGCACCCCUAAGCUGUUUUUUAAACCUUAUAUCCACCUGAUCCCCUUACAACCCUCUGAAGUUGGUAAUGUUCAUUUUAUUCCCAAUUUACAGGAGAUUGGGAAAGUGAAAGGUUGAGUAACUUCGCUCAAAAUCAUCCAGCUAGCAAGUGGAUUCUAACCGGGCCUGUCUGUCUACAAAGUACUAUUCCUCCCUGCAGUGUUCUCUACCUUCUGGGAUGACGAUGCUCCAUGCUUGAGCUCCUCCUGAUGUGAAUUCUUAGUGUCCUAUGUUUGAUUGGAAAGGGUGCUCUGUUUCUAUCCCUCCAACAAGCCCUGGGUUACUUUUUGAGCCAGAACCUGCUUUGAGAAAUUGUUGCCACUAAAGAGGAAACAGCCUGUUCAGGAAAGAGCUCUAGCUUUAUGGUCAGAGUGAUCUGGCUUUCAAUCUUGGCUCUUAUACUUGUUAGCUAUGUGACCUUGGCCGGGUAACUUAACCUCUCUGAACUUCAACUACCAAGCCCUCUACACAGAAAAAGCUAAAACGUUAUUAGGGGUAUAAAACCUCUAGAUUAUAUUCAGGCUCUGUGCUUCUAGAAAGGUGGUAUGUCUAGGGGCUGGGAAGUGAGAAUACAAGGAGGAUAAAGGAUCUAAAGAAGAAAAAGAGGACUGAAGCAGAAACUUGAGCAUUGCUUCUUCUCAUUUUGUUUUCUUUAUAAUUUUAAAAAAUAAUCAUUACACAUUAAUAGAAAGUGGGUCUCAGGGUACAAGUGACACCCUCAGUUGGAAACUAACAUUGGUGGCUGCUUGACAGAGAUGAUCAUCUGUUAAUUUUCCAAUAGCCCAGUCUGGCAAGAUUAGUAGUCCUGCAAUACAGUUGAGGAAACUACGGCUUAGAAAAGUUGAGUAACUUGCCCAAUAUCACACAGCUUGAGUGGGAUUUAAAACCUAGGACCAUCUAGCACCAAAUGCUGUCCUCUUCCCAUGACACCCUUCUCAACCCAACACUGAGUUCUAGGCAUGUUGCAGGGUCCACUUCUCUGCGUUCCCCAGCUUCCGGGCAGCUGGGCCCACUGAGCAAUCUACCCACUGUACUACAUAGAGCAGUGGGGCCAGAGGCAAUGUUCCCUGAAAAGUAACACAGAAAAUUUGAUACUGGAAGGUCACUGAAGGUAAAACCACUUGAAAUGGAUUUCCCAAAUUUCAUUGUAGUUAAAAAACAAAAACAAACAACAACAACAAAAAGGACUAGGACCUUAUCUUGGUAAUGAAACUAAAACUACAGUGAAAUGAAAUUAAAAUGGUCUGCUGCCCUUGGUUUCCUCUUCCUGUGCUCUGCCCUCAUAUGGGGACACUUUGCUUCAAUGAGCUCCAGUGGGAAAGCACCAUGCUUUUAGCUCCAUGCCUGACACGUGGGCACGGAAUACAUACUGGAAUCCCAUAAUUCAGCUAGGCCUGCAGGUCCCUGACUGGGAAUGGCCUCACUCUCCUUGAACCCUGGGUCUUGGCCACUGACCAGAAGCUGUUCUAUCAGUACUUCCCUGUCUCCAUGUCCUCCAGUUCGUUGAUUUUUGGUUCAACCUUUCCCCUCAUAUUAUCUGUGUCACGGCUGAACGUUCUGGUGAAUCCAGAGAUCUUUCUUGAACACCUUGGAACAAAUGCCUGAAGAUCCUAGAACAAUUUCACAUUAAAAAUCCCUUUGAUUAAGCAAAUGUAUAUUGCGGAUUGGGCUCUGGGCCUCUAAGGGUCCAGCCUAGGCUAGAUGCUGGUGAUAAUGUGGUGAAAAGCCAGGUGCAGUCCUGCUUCAUUUGUUACCUUUCAAUUCCCACCUGCCUCAUUCCUGGGAGCCACCAUCCCUACCCAAGGCACACCCUCUCCAGUCGUACCCUCUGCCAUCUGUAGCCAGUCCAGCCUUCCCUCCCACCCCGGUUGUCUUUCCAGAUGCUCUGUUCCACCUGCACACAAGUGGGAAUAUGUCUUCUCCCCUGGGAUGACAUUGUCUUAAGAACGCUGCUACUGCUUCCCAAACAUCCUUUUAAAGUUCUCAGGUGAGACUUACUGUUUAGUAUUUAUUUAUUGAUUCACUCGCCAAUUAUACACUGUACCCUGCCUAGAAACCACAUAGCAUAGCAUUUGAGCAUGGACUCUGGAGUGAGAGUGAAUUUAAAUCCUGGCUCUGCCACUUACUAGCUGGGGGACCUUGGGCAAGUUGCUUUCGUUCUCUGUGCAUGAGUUUACUGGUGCAUAAAAUAUGGGAUGAUAAUAUUACCUACUUCAUAAGGACUAAGUGAGAUAAGUCAUGUAAAGUGCCUAGAACAGCACUCAAAGACAUCCUCAGUAUUACUUACUAUGGCUAUUGAGCACCAGCGCUGGGCUAGGAGCUAGGAUGCAGUGGUGAACAGUACAGAGACAGUUAAAGAAACUAAUACAACAAAGGAGGAGAUUUGUAGCAGGCAUAGUACCAGGUGCUAGAGUGCAUGGUGGGAGGAAACUUGCUAAACACACAUUGCAGGGCCUUAUUGUAUUCGUUUCCUAUGGCUGCUGUAACAAAUCAUCAUAGUUCAUGGCUUAAAACAACACAAAUUUGUUAUCUUAUAGUGGUGGAAGUCAGAAUUCCAAAAUGGGUCUCACUGUGUAAAAAUCAAAGUUUCAGUAGGCUGAGUUCCAUUCUGGAGGCUCCAAAGGUGAAUCUGUUUUCUUGCCUUUAUCCAGCUUCUAGCUCACAUUCCUUGGUUAGAAUUCCCCUUCCAUCUUCAAAGCCAACAGUGGCUGUCAAGUCAUUUUUAUGAUGCCUGUCUGUUCUGACUAAAGUCUGGUUCUGACUUUACUGUCUCCUCAUUUAAGGACCCUUGUGAUUGCAUUGGGCCCACUUUGUAUAAUCUAUUUUAAAGUCAGCCAACUAGCAGUCUUAAUUCCAUCUGCAACUUUAAUUCCUCCUUGCCUUGUAACAUAAGAUAUUAACAGUUUUCAGGGAUUAGGACGUGGAUAUCUUUGGAUAGGUCCAAUAUUCUGCCUACCACACUUACGUUCAGAGCUUUUGAUUCAGUAGCUCUGUGAUGGGGCCCAAGAAUUUGUAUUUCUAACAUGUUCUCAAAUGAUGCUGAUGCUACUGAUUCAGGAGCACACUUUGAAAACCACUGAUGUAGAGACUUUGGCCAUUCACAUCUUCAUCCAUUCAACAAACUUUUUAGAUCUCUAAGUGUGAACCCAAUAUUACACCGGAUGUUGGGAAUAGUGCCUGCAAAUUAAAAAACAAACAAACAACCCUCCCCCCUCAAAAAAAAACCCCAUAAUCUAGCAGAGGGGCGAACAGUUUCAGUUUGGUGUGAUAUAUAGUCAAAUAGAGCUAUGUGCAAAGUGCUAAGCAUUUCCAGAGAAGAGAGCAACUGACAGGGGCAAGGGUGUGCUUUAUAGAUGAGGUGACAUUUGAGCUGGCCAUUAAAAAGUAAAGAGGAGAUUUCUAGGAGUUAAGGAGGGGAAGAAUAUGGCAGGUAUUGAGAAUAGCAUAUGAGAAACAGCACAACAUAUCAAGCGAUGAAGAAUAGUUCUAUGUAGUUGGAGUGGAUAGUGCAUAGCAGUGGAGAAGAACUGGACCUGAUACUAGAAAAAUGCUGUGCUGUAUUAAGCAAUAUAGUGGACCUGUCUAGUUGCCUCUCAGCCCACACUGUCUUUGAGAACAUUCCUCUCUAGAGAUCCUACUGAAGGUGUGAACCUCAGGCUGUCAUAUUUUGUCUGCAUGACCUUACUUGACUCAUGAGCUAAGCCAAUCAGAUUUCCUUUCUCAGGGCACCCAGGUGACUCAGUCCAUUAAGCUUCUGACUCUUGAUUUCAGCUCAGGUCAUGCUCUGAUGGUUCGUGGGAUUGAGCCCCACGUUGGCUGCUUGGGAUUCUCUCUUCCUCUCUCUCUGCCCCUCACCUGCUCUCUCUUGCACUUUGUCUCAAAAUAAAUAAAUAAACAUUAAAAAAAAAAGAAUGCCUGUGGGGGCAAUGUGCCUUGAUGAACUUGUGGGGGGUGGUGAGGAGAGGGUAGGGAGGAAUCUGAAGGGGAAUGGGGUAGAGUCACAGUAAGAAGCAGAGAUACUAAAGGCAGCAAGAGAGGAGCCAGCAGACAUGGGAUAUUAUCCUUAGCAACUCCCCUGCUGCUUAGCUGCACUUCUUCCUUCGUGAAAGUCCUUCCUUCCUUUCUUCAUGGUUCCUUCUUCUUUUUUAUUUUUAUUUUAUUUUUUUAUUAAAAAAUUUUUAAUGUUUAUUUUUGAGAGAGAGAGAGCAGAGAAUCUGAAGCAGGAUCCAUGGUGACAGCAGACAGCCCAAAGUAGGGCUUGAACUCAUGAACUGAGAGAUCAUGGCCUGAGCCAAAGUCAGACGCUUAACCAACUGAGCCACCCAGACGCCCAAUCCUCCUUUUUUAAAAACAAAUACUUUCUUUUAUUAGAGCAGUUUUAGGUUUACAACAAAAGUGAGAAUAAGGUACAGAGAUUUCCUAUAUACCACCUGUCCCCACACAAACAAAGCCUAUCCUUUUAUCAUUAUCUCCCAACAUCACUCACCAGAAUGGUACUUUUUUUUUUUUAAACCAAGGGUGAACUUUCACUGACACAUCAUAAUCACCCAAAGUCCAUCCCUUUUUCUUUAAAAUAAACUUCUUUUUCUUUUAAAAAAAUUUUUUUUAAUGUUUAUUUAUUUUUGACAGAGAGAGAGAGAGAGACAGAGCCCGAGCAGGGGAAGGGCAGAGAGAGAGAUGAAGACACAGAAUCUGAAGCAGACUCCAGGCUCUGAGCUGUCAGCCCAGAGCCCAAUGUGGGGCUCGAACUCACAAGUUGUGAGAUCAUGACCUAAGUUGAAGUUGAAUGCCUAACCGACUGAGCCACCUGGGCACCCCUAAAUUUCUUUUUCUUAAAUGGCAUGGAGUACUUUUUGUUUUUGGCAAAUGAUGAUCACUAUCUAAUACAAAGUUCACAUUUGAUCUUGGCAGAAAUAAGCCAGUGGAAGUGUAUGAGGCAAAGGAAUAACACAGUUUGAUUUGUGUUUCAGAAAGAUCUCUGGCUGCAAAAAGGAGUCAGGGGAGCUGGUAAAAGGCUUCAGCACUGACUUGGGCGAUAGAGAAUGAGAGCCUGAACUCAGGGAGCAGCAGGGAGGAGGGAGUGGGUCUGAAAGAGUGCUUGGGAGAUAGAAUUAAUAGGACUUAAUAUCCUGAGAUGUAGGAAGCCCAGGGCAGAAAGUGUUAAGGACAGUCCUCAGUUUCUAGCUCAGUGAUUUGAAAGAGUUGCAAAACUGCUAACAGAGAAAGUGAAGAUAGAUUCACAUUUUGGAAGAAAUAUUAAGCUCAGUUUUAGGCACACUUAACAUCUGAGGAGCCCAUAGCUACAUCCAGUAGGCAUUGACACUUUAUUCCUGGAGGUCAACAGACAAGUUAGAAUAAAGAUGCAUGUAGCGGGGCUCCUGGGUAGCUCAGUCAGUUGAGUGUUCCCAUUCUUGACUUCAGCUCAGGUCAUGAUCCCAGGGUCAUGAGAUCAAACCCUGCAUCAGGCUCGCCUAGCAUGGAGCCUGCUUGAAAUUCUCUCUCUCUCUCCCUUUGUCUCAUUCCUCCGCUCAUACUCUCUCUCUCUCUCUCUCUCUCUACAUAUAGGUGGUAGCCACUUGACUAGAUUAGAUUCCAGAAUGAGUUCAGCAUGAGAAGGGAGAGAAAGGAAGGAAGGAAGAAAAGGAAAAGUAAGACAACAAAAACAUGGGAAACACUGACAUUGACUGGCCAGAGGAGGAACAUGAACCAGCCAAGGAAUCUGAGAAGGAGUGGUCAGAGGGGUAGAAGGAGACCCAAAAGAGAGUGAAUCAUAGAAGGUAAGGGAGGAGAGUCUUAGGGAGGAGAGUCUUAAGCAGGAGAGAAUGACCAUAUGGAUCAAAUUGUGCAUUGGGAUUAAAUAAGAUGAAAGCUGAAAGUAGUUCAUAAUAUUUGAUAUUUGAGGCAUUGUUGUUGUCUUUAAAGAGAGCAGUUUCAUAAAAAUGGAGAUAGUGGUAAUAAGAUGAAGUCAUUUGGGUGAGGAGUGACUGGUUGGUAAGAAAGUAGGCAAAGCAAGAGACAGCUACUCUCUAGAAGUUUGGAAAAGAGAUAUUUGGGCAGAAGCUUAAGGAUGAAGAGAGAUAAAGUACACUGCAAAACCGACCUAAUUCUUCACCCCUUCCUGACUUCACACCGUUUGUGCUGUGACUUUGCAGCUCCUCUCAUUAAGAAGUAGAGUCUAUUUCCUUGUUCCCGGGCUGGCCUUGUGAUGUUGUGCCAGUUCAAAAGGCUUUGCGUACUUCUGCCCUCUCUCUCCCUUGAAAUCCUGCGUGGCUAUCAUGAGAACAAACCUGUGCUAAGUUGCUGGAUAAGUGAUCAGUGGCCCAGUGACCCACUUCACCAUAAUUAAUAACCUGCUAAUUGCCAGGCACGUGAGUGAGAUCAUCCUUGACCACCCUGCCGACCUACCACCUGACUGCAUAACUCAUGAGGAUGUGCAGUCAGUAUUUCAGGCCCAGCUAAAGUCAGGGGAGCCUGGCCCAGCUCAACAGAACUGCCCAGAUGACUCACCAGUUUGUGAAUAAUAAAAAUGCUUAUUGUUUCAAGCCAUUGUUUUGGGCUACUUUGUUACACAUCAACAGCUAACUGAUUCAAGAGAUUAUUGGGAAGUUUCCAUUAUCUUGCUUGGCAUGGAGGAGAUUUGAACAUAUCUGCAUGUUGUGGGGAAAAGACAGGUUUAAGAUUCAAGAGAAGGAAUAAGUGACCAAAAGCUCAGGUGGAGGAUUAGCCUGGAAAUAGGCGGAGGGCUGCCUUUGUUUUUGGGAUAAGAGAAGGAAGUAGGGAUAUGGAGGAUGAUGUCCUGGACUGAAAUUCUCUGCAUCAUUGGGGCUUCAGCCAGGUGUGAGCUAGGUGGUAUCAUCUCUGGACAUGCUCACAUUUAACAUCCAACCAAAAAUUAACGUCCCAAACUCAUGCGUUUCCACAUCUGUCAAAGCUAAAAGGGGCAUCUGAGACAGACUUCCUUUUGUUUUCACUGGCGUGUCAAAUGCUGCAGUGACAGCAAAAGAAUAAUCUUCAGUUUGUGUAUAAUGAGGUCUGAAAUUUCCGUCUCCACACAUUGAUCAUGAAUCUUAUUUCACUAGAUAAACUGACAGCAGAGUCUCAGGUACUUAAACAAAUUUUUGGAAAAAAAAAUCAACACAACCACCCACAUCUCUGAUUUUUUCCUGCUGUCACUUUUAUGGUUCAGUUAGUUUGUCUAUAUGCACUCGUUUCCAGUUUUGUCUGGAUUUCUCAACAGCCAAAUCAUUCCUCAAUCCUAGACAUAUACUUCUCUAUCUUGAAAAAUGAUUUUGUUGAAAGACCACUGGUUUGGGAGGCAGAAAAACGGAGUUCUAGUCUUGACUCUGCUGUUAACUAGCAAACUUAUCCAGGCUAAGUCACUGAACCUGUUUCCUUAUCUGAAAAACAUAUUCCUCCAAAAAAACUUACUGAGUACCUACCAGGUGCCAGGUACUGUUGUGAGUGCUUAGGAUCCAUCAGGGAAAAAAAACAAAGACCCUGGCCCCCAGGAGUAUACAUUCUGAAGUCAGACAAUGAGGAACAAAUGCAAUAAAUGGGAUAAUUGUAUCAUGUGAUAGAUAGUGAAAAGUAUUAUGAAAAAAAUUAAAAAUAAAGUUGGGGCGGGGGCAAGUUGGAGGUCAGGAGAAAUGUCUGAGGAGUUACUGGAAGGAGAUGAAGGAAUUACCAUGAGGGUAUCUGGGGGAAGAAUGUUCCAGGCAAAGUCCUUGAGUAUUUCCUCAGUCUCCCUUUUCCUCCACACUCCAUUUCUGCAUAUUGACCUCAGAGGAGGUUUAUAAUGCAUACAGUCUUCAGGCCGUUCUUCCAUACUCCUCCAUACAUUUCUUUGAACAGCCAAAAAAUAACUGUCCAUUCACUUUGAACUAGCCCAUUGGCAUUAGGUGCAAGAGCCUCUCACCUUGUGUUUAUUUUCCAGGACCUCUGUGUGGUAUUUUCCUGCCAUCCAAAAGCCUAACUCUGUAUGUAUUAUUUCAAACAUCACAUGGACAUUUCCUUCCAGCUCUGCACAGGACAGUGCAAAUAUACAGUGUGGGCAAAAGCCCGCAAAUGUAUCUUUAAAAAAAGACAUGGCUCUUGAUGAAGUACCUACCAUUUCUGAAUACCUCUUAUGUGCCAGGUGCUUCGCAUUCCUUAUUUCCCCUAAUCCUCACCACACCUCCAUCUCUCUCUCAGGUUAGCGUUCUCCCACAACAGUGGUUCAGAGAAUUUUGAAAACUUACCUGUGGUCGCACGGCUAGUAAGUCUCAUAGUCAGAAUUUGAUUCCCAAUGACACUUUGCUUCAGCAAUACUGUACAGCUUCCUUUCUUCCCAAGUACCCUUUCAUCCAGCUGGAAAACCAGAAACAGGUACAUGACACAACUAGAGAGUUGUUUUAAGGCAUAUAGCAUGGUGGUGAAGAGCUUGGGCUCUCCAGUCAGACAGCCUGAGGCCAAGCUCCAAUUCUGCCACGUUAUAACUGUGUGAUCAUGGGCAAGUUACUUAACUUUUCUGAGACUUCCUUUCUUCAUUUGUAAAUAUGCAUAAUGACUACCCAUCUCAUAAGUUUGUGGGGAGGAUUCAAUGAUAUAAUUCAUAUAAAGUGCUUAGCAUAGUAUCUCUUACAUAAUUGCUAAUAUAGGUUAACAAUUAUUCUCAUAUCUUGAUUUUUUUUUUUAAAAAAGCACAUGGAGGGGCGCCUGGGUGGCGCAGUCGGUUAAGCGUCCGACUUCAGCCAGGUCACGAUCUCGCGGUCCGUGAGUUCGAGCCCCGCGUCAGGCUCUGGGCUGAUGGCUCAGAGCCUGGAGCCUGUUUCCGAUUCUGUGUCUCCCUCUCUCUCUGCCCCUCCCCCGUUCAUGCUCUGUCUCCCUCUGUUCCAAAAAUAAAAUAAACGUUGAAAAAAAAAGUUUAAAAAAAAAUAAAAAAGCACAUGGAUAUUUUAUUUAAAAAAAAUUUUUUUAACGUUUACUUAUUUUUGAGAGACAGCGUGAGCAGGAGAGGGGCAGAGAGAGAGGGAGACACAGAACUUGAAGCAGGCUCCAGGCUCUGGCUGUCAGCACAGAGCCCAACACGAGGCUCAAACCCAUGAACUGCAAAAUCAUGACCUGGUCUGAAGUUGGACGCUUAAUCAACUAAGCCACCCAGGCACUCCUAAAAGAGCAUGUGUGUUUUAAAAUAUCUCUGGAAGGGUCAGGUACUGGCGAGCUUACUUUUCACUCUGAUGAUUUGUACAAGGUAUACAUUUAAAUGUUGGACCAAAGAUAUUACUUAUUUAAGAAAGCAACUACACAAUGAGACAAUUUUAAGGAAAUACCAUUAUUAUUAUCAUUGUAAAGAAUUUGGAAUAAUUAUUACUCCAUAAUUUAUUUGGAUAGAUGGAUUUGGAGGAGGUUUCUGGGAGAUGAUUUAGCGAAGCCUUGAAGCCGGUAUAGCAUUUUGAUGACAGAAUAAAGAACUGGGAGGCAUUUUAAGUGAAAGAUUCUUGCAAAGUAGAGCAUACAAGCAGGAAAGAGUAGCCAGUGAAUGCAGUUCUGUUCAGCGAUAAUUGUUUGGUGCUGUGACAACUAAUCCAGGUGAUUGUGCUUUUCAAAUACCUAAAGUGGAAAAGAGAGGGUGUAAGUGAAAAAUUGCCUAAACACUCCACUCCAACACAAAAAUUGAGAAAGAUUGCUGGUUGAGGCCAAUUCCAUGAGCCCUGCUGCCAGAAUUAUUCCGGUUCAUCAAUCCAAAUUGAGCUGGAGGAACCUUUGACAUCCCCCUCUCUCUGCCUGCAGGUCAGCUGUCUCCACUCCUGAGGUCAUCACUCAUCAAGAGGGGAUAAUCCCAAGGACAGCAGGAUCUGCUUCGUCACUUGGAUUUAGGAGUGAGAAACCCAUCAGGCAACUAAACAGUAACAAUGACCCGCCAUUAAACACACUGAGAGAAGAGCAUGAUGAGGAGAUUGUACAAGAAGAAUCCCAGGGCUCUUGCUGACAACGCCUAUGGAGUCACUGACCACUGUGAGCUCUGCCCAUUGAACUGCAGUGAAAAAUCUCCCCCUCCCCAGAGAUGCUUGGAUGUGGGCACAAUAUCAGUUCAGACAAUGGUCUUUGCUUGGAUUUAGAGUGGAAAGAAUUUGUGCUGUGGGGUAAAAAGACCUGGGUCUGAACUGUCACUCUGCCACUUCUGUGUAGUAUGCUUUGGCAACAUUAAAAAAAAUCUCUCUGAGCCUCGGUUUUUCUUGUCUGCAAAAUGGAGCAAAUACCGACACAGAGGGCUUUUAAGAGGA